rnacentral:rRNA from 1 species
GUCCACGCCCUAAACGAUGUCUACUUGCUGUUGGGGGUAACCUUAGUAGCGAAGCUAACGCGAGAAGUAGACCGCCUGGGGGAGUACGGUCGCAAGAUUAAAAACUCAAAGGAAUUGACGGGGACCCGCACAAGCGGUGGAUGAUGUGGAUUAAUUCGAUGCAACGCGAAAAACCUUACCUGCUCUUGACAUGUACGGAAGAUUUCAGAGAUGAGAUUGUGCCUUCGGGAACCGUAACACAGGUGCUGCAUGGCUGUCGU